UUACGGCCAUAUCACGUUGAAACAUCGGUUCCCGUACGGUUACCGAAGUUAAGCAAUGUCAAGCCUGGUCAUUACCUAGAUAAGUUACCGCUUAGAAAUACCAGGUGCUGCAAG